GGAAGCUAAUCAAACACCGGUUCAUUCUAAUUAUAUACCAAAGUUUUCACAAGAACCUUUUGCAUUAUCUCCUUUAAACCCAAACAAUUUUCAACGAAGUACUUUAGUGUGUGAUGGUGGAACUGUUGUAAGAGAUGGUGCUAAAAGUGCUGAAAAACAAACAAAAAACCAAUCACUUCACUUAAGCAUUUCUGAUUCUAAAUUUGACAUAUACAGACCAAAAGAUCUGAGUCAUGAAGUUGUCAAAGGUCAGCGAGAUGUAAAAUUUACUCCAACAUCUCCACAGAAACAGGAGUGUGUAUAUUGUUGCGAACGUCAUCCAUUAGAUGAGUUAGAAGCACAUCAGAAGCUAUGUGAAAGCCGAUUUGAUUGAAAUCUAGUGAAAAAUAUUCGAUUUAAGUUUAAGCUAUACAGAUUUUCUAAUGAAGAAGCAUAAGAAAAAAAAAAAAUUCUGUGCAUCGUUAUCUCUAAUUGUAUUUAAAAGUUUUU
rnacentral:lncRNA from 1 species